rnacentral:rRNA from 1 species
UAACCUACCCUUGAAUUGGGGAUAACUCCUCGAAAGGGGAGUUAAUACCGAAUAAUAUUCCGAUUUCCACGGGAGCCGGAAUCAAAGGUGGCCUCUGCAUGCAAGCUAUCAUUUAAGGAUGGGCCCGCGUACCAUUAGCUCGUUGGUAGGGUAAUGGCCUACCAAGGCAACGAUGGUUAGCUGGUCUGAGAGGAUGGCCAGCCACACUGGAACUGAGACACGGUCCAGACUCCUACGGGAGGCAGCAGUGGGGAAUCUUGCGCAAUGGGGGAAACCCUGACGCAGCAACGCCGCGUGGGUGAUGAAGGCCUUCGGGUCGUAAAGCCCUGUCAGGUGGGAAGAAACUCGUGGAUGCUAAUAUCAUCCGCGCUUGACGGUACCACCGGAGGAAGCACCGGCUAACUCCGUGCCAGCAGCCGCGGUAA